UACGUAGGUGGCAAGCGUUGUCCGGAGUUAUUGGGCGUAAAGCGCGCGCAGGCGGUGCGGGUAAGUCUCUGGUGAAAGCGCUCGGCUUAACUGGGCGAGGGCCGGGGAGACUGCCACGCUGGAGGGGAGCAGAGGCGAGUGGAAUUCCGGGUGUAGUGGUGAAAUGCGUAGAGAUCCGGAGGAACACCAGUGGCGAAGGCGGCUCGCUGGGGCUCUACCUGACGCUGAGGCGCGAAAGCGUGGGGGAGCGAACCGG
rnacentral:rRNA from 1 species